rnacentral:rRNA from 1 species
CCUACGGUGCGCAGCAGUGGGGAAUAUUUGGCAAUGGACGCAAGUCUGACCCAGCAACGCCGCGUGAAGGCAGAAGGCUUUCUGGUUGUAAACUUCUUUUAAGGGGGAAGAUCAGAAGACGGUACCCCUUGAAUAAGCCACGGCUAACUACGUGCCAGCAGCCGCGGUAAUACGUAGGUGGCAAGCGUUUUCCGGAUUUACUGGGUGUAAAGGGCGUGCAGCCGGAGAGACAAGUCAGAUGUGAAAUCCACGGGCUCAACCCGUGAACUGAAUUUGAAACUGUUUCCCUUGAGUGUCGGAGAGGGAAUCGGAAUUCCUAGUGUAGCGGUGAAAUGCGGAGAUAUUAGGAAGAACACCAGUGGCGAAGGCGGAUUACUGGACGAUAACUGACGGUGAGGCGCGAAAGCGUGGGGAGCAAACAGGAUUAGAUACCCUUGUAGUC